rnacentral:rRNA from 1 species
GAGUUUGAUCAUGGCUCAGAUUGAACGCUGGCGGCAUGCCUUACACAUGCAAGUCGAACGGCAGCACGGGAGCUUGCUCCUGGGUGGCGAGUGGCGAACGGGUGAGUAAUGCAUCGGAACGUAUCCUGGAGUGGGGGAUAACGUAGCGAAAGUUACGCUAAUACCGCAUAUUCUGUGAGCAGGAAAGCGGGGGACCUUCGGGCCUCGCGCUCUUGGAGCGGCCGAUGUCGGAUUAGCUAGUUGGUGAGGUAAAGGCUCACCAAGGCGACGAUCCGUAGCAGGUCUGAGAGGAUGAUCUGCCACACUGGAACUGAGACACGGUCCAGACUCCUACGGAGGCAGCAGUGGGGAAUUUUGGACAAUGGGGGCAACCCUGAUCCAGCCAUGCCGCGUGAGUGAAGAAGGCCU